rnacentral:misc_RNA from 1 species
UCAAACUUGGUCAUUUAGAGGAAGUAAAAGUCGUAACAAGGUUUCCGUAGGUGAACCUGCGGAAGGAUCAUUACAGUAUUUGGACGUUAUUCAGUAGUAAUUUGCCAGCGCUUAAUUGCGCGGCGAGUGCUAAUGAAGUCCACUAAUUCUACACACAGUGUUUUUUGUUUAACGAAUUUUGCUUUGGUCUGAAGCUAGAAAUAGAUUUGGGCCAGAGUAUUCAUUAACUAAACUUCAAUUUUAUAUUGAAUUGUUAUUUAAUUACUAGUCAAUUUGUUGAUUUAUAUCAAAUAAUCUUCAAAACUUUCAACAACGGAUCUCUUGGUUCUCGCAUCGAUGAAGAACGCAGC